rnacentral:rRNA from 1 species
UACGGAGGAUGCAAGCGUUAUCCGGAAUGAUUGGGCGUAAAGCGUCCGCAGGUGGCUUUGUAAGUCUGCUGUUAAAGAGUGAGGCUCAACCUCAUAAGAGCAGUGGAAACUACAAGGCUAGAGUACGGUCGGGGCAGAGGGAAUUCCUGGUGUAGCGGUGAAAUGCGUAGAGAUCAGGAAGAACACCGGUGGCGAAAGCGCUCUGCUAGGCCGUAACUGACACUGAGGGACGAAAGCUAGGGGAGCGAAUGGG